rnacentral:rRNA from 1 species
UAAUACGUAGGGCGCAAGCGUUAUCCGGAAUUAUUGGGCGUAAAGAGCUCGUAGGCGGUUUGUCGCGUCUGCCGUGAAAGUCCGGGGCUCAACUCCGGAUCUGCGGUGGGUACGGGCAGACUAGAGUGAUGUAGGGGAGACUGGAAUUCCUGGUGUAGCGGUGAAAUGCGCAGAUAUCAGGAGGAACACCGAUGGCGAAGGCAGGUCUCUGGGCAUUAACUGACGCUGAGGAGCGAAAGCAUGGGGAGCGAACAGG